GUGGGGAAUAUUGGACAAUGGGCGAAAGCCUGAUCCAGCCAUGCCGCGUGUGUGAAGAAGGUCUUCGGAUUGUAAAGCACUUUAAGUUGGGAGGAAGGGCAGUAAGUUAAUACCUUGCUGUUUUGACGUUACCGACAGAAUAAGCACCGGCUAACUUCGUGCCAGCAGCCGCGGUAAUACGAAGGGUGCAAGCGUUAAUCGGAAUUACUGGGCGUAAAGCGCGCGUAGGUGGUUUUGUAAGUUGGAGGUGAAAUCCCCGGGCUCAACCUGGGAACUGCCUCAAAAACUGCAUGACUAGAGUACGGUGGAGGGUAGUGGAAGUUCCUGUGUAGCGGUGAAAUGCGUAGAUAUAGGAAGGAACACCAGUGGCGAAGGCGACUACCUGGACUGAUACUGACACUGAGGUGCGAAAGCGUGGGGAGCAAACAGGAUUAGAUACCCUAGUAGUCC
rnacentral:rRNA from 1 species